rnacentral:rRNA from 1 species
UUUCCAUGCAAGUCGAACGGCAGCACGGACUUCGGUCUGGUGGCGAGUGGCGAACGGGUGAGUAAUACAUCGGAACGUGCCCAGUUGUGGGGGAUAACUACUCGAAAGAGUAGCUAAUACCGCAUGAGAACUGAGGUUGAAAGCAGGGGAUCGCAAGACCUUGCGCAACUGGAGCGGCCGAUGGCAGAUUAGGUAGUUGGUGGGAUAAAAGCUUACCAAGCCGACGAUCUGUAGCUGGUCUGAGAGGACGACCAGCCACACUGGGACUGAGACACGGCCCAGACUCCUACGGGAGGCAGCAGUGGGGAAUUUUGGACAAUGGGCGAAAGCCUGAUCCAGCAAUGCCGCGUGCAGGAUGAAGGCCUUCGGGUUGUAAACUGCUUUUGUACGGAACGAAAAGCUUCGGGUUAAUACCCUGGAGUCAUGACGGUACCGUAAGAAUAAGCACCGGCUAACUACGUGCCAGCAGCCGCGGUAAU